AUGAUCCCUUUGGCGCCCUUGGAGGACAUUUCGCUUCCUUUCAAGUUGAUGAAGAGGAAACAGUUCCCUGUUUGUCAGAGUUAUGCAAAGACCAUUAACAUAGCCCAGGGGCAAACCAUCCCAACUGUCGGUAUUUACCUUCCGGAGCAUGUACUCUCGCAUGCCCAGGUUUAUCUUGCACUGUCAAGAGCUUUUUGUCUGGUCGCACCUAUAGGCAGUAUAGAGGAUCUACUCUCAGUAAGCUCUACAGCCGAUCAUUUUUUCCGCUUCCACUACUUCUUUUACCUUACUUUACACGGUGUAAUCUGUUUCAAUGCUAUGAUGCACUAUACGUAUGUUCUGCAUCAUUUUCCUUGUUGUAUCUACUGA
rnacentral:rRNA from 1 species